rnacentral:rRNA from 1 species
UACGUAGGGUGCGAGCGUCGUCCGGAAUUACUGGGCGUAAAGAGCUCGUAGGUGGUUUGUCGCGUUGUUCGUGAAAACCGGGGGCUUAACCCUCGGCGUGCGGGCGAUACGGGCAGACUAGAGUGCGGUAGGGGAGACUGGAAUUCCUGGUGUAGCGGUGAAAUGCGCAGAUAUCAGGAGGAACACCGGUGGCGAAGGCGGGUCUCUGGGCCGUAACUGACGCUGAGGAGCGAAAGCGUGGGGAGCAAACAGG